rnacentral:rRNA from 1 species
UACGUAGGGUGCAAGCGUUAAUCGGAAUUACUGGGCGUAAAGCGUGCGCAGGCGGCUAUGCAAGACAGAUGUGAAAUCCCCGGGCUUAACCUGGGAACUGCAUUCGGGACUGCAUUGCUAGAGUAUGGGAGAGGGAAGUGGAAUUUCAGGUGUAGCGGUGAAAUGCGUAGAUAUCUGAAGGAACAUCAGUGGCGAAAGCGACUUCCUGGACCAAUACUGACGCUCAUGUGCGAAAGCGUGGGGAGCAAACAGG